rnacentral:misc_RNA from 1 species
GAUGAAGAACGCAGCGAAAUGCGAUACGUAAUGUGAAUUGCAGAAUUCAGUGAAUCAUCGAGUCUUUGAACGCACAUUGCGCCCUUUGGUAUUCCGAAGGGCAUGCCUGUUCGAGCGUCAUUAUCACCCCUCAAGCCCUCGGCUUGGUGUUGGACGGUUUGGUGGAGGCCCCCUCGGGGGCUCCUGCCCCUCCCAAAGACAAUGACGGCGGCCUCGUUGGACCCCCGGUACACUGAGUUCUUCACGGGACACGUAUCGGACACAUGGGUUUACGGGACACGGUCUGCCUCCCCUCAGGGAGAAUCUUUCUAAGGUUGACCUCGGAUCAGGUAGGGAUACCCGCUGAACUUAAGCAUAUCAAUAAGCGGAGGA